UACGUAGGCAGCAAGCGUUGUUCGGAGUUACUGGGCGUAAAGGGUGUGUAGGCGGUUCUUUAAGUUUGGUGUGAAAUCUCCCGGCUCAACUGGGAGGUGCGCCGAAUACUGAGGGACUAGAGUACGGGAGAGGAAAGUGGAAUUCCUGGUGUAGCGGUGAAAUGCGUAGAUAUCAGGAGGAACACCGGUGGUGUAGACGGCUUCUGGACCGACACUGACGCUGAGACACGAAAGCGUGGGUAGCAAACAGG
rnacentral:rRNA from 1 species